rnacentral:rRNA from 1 species
GAUGAACGCUAGCGGCAGGCCUAACACAUGCAAGUCGAGGGGCAUCAAGUGUAGCAAUACAUGUUGGCGACCGGCGCACGGGUGAGUAACGCGUAUGCAACCUACCCAUAACAGGGGGAUAGCUUUCGGAAACGGAAAUUAAUACCCUAUAGUAUCCAGACUACGCAUGUAAAUUGGAUUAAAACUACGGUGGUUAUGGAUGGGCAUGCGUGCCAUUAGCUAGUUGGCGGGGUAACGGCCCACCAAGGCGAUGAUGGCUAGGGGGGUCUAAAAGGAUGAUCCCCCACACUGGUACUGAGACACGGACCAGACUCCUACGGGAGGCAG